UACGUAGGUGGCAAGCGUUGUUCGGAAUUACUGGGCGUAAAGGGCUCGUAGGCGGCCAACUAAGUCAGACGUGAAAUCCCCAGGCUCAACCUGGGAACUGCGUCUGAUACUGGAUGGCUUGAAUCCGGGAGAGGGAUGCAGAAUUCCAGGUGUAGCGGUGAAAUGCGUAGAUAUCUGGAGGAAUACCGGUGGCGAAGGCGGCAUCCUGGACCGGCAUUGACGCUGAGGAGCGAAAGCUAGGGGAGCGAACGGG
rnacentral:rRNA from 1 species